AUACUUACCUGACUGGUGCUCGACGUUGCUCAACAAGGACGUUGACAUGAGCCGGAGCAGGCCCCUUGCACUCCGGUGCUGUAAGGGUUCAGGAAUGCUCUUAUGAGUAAUUCUACAGUAGAAUUUUUGAUAGCGGGGGUGAGCGCGUGCGCCGCCCCCAC
rfam:Plasmopara halstedii genome assembly, contig: Scaffold_1211